CCCUUAGAUGUUCUGGGCUGCACGCGCGCUACACUGAUGCGUUCAACGAGUUUAUAACCUUGCCCGAUAGGGUUGGGUAAUCUUUUGAAAACGCAUCGUGAUGGGGAUAGAUUAUUGUAAUUAUUAAUCUUCAACGAGGAAUUCCUAGUAAGCGCGAAUCAUCAGUUCGUGCUGAUUACGUCCCUGCCCUUUGUACACACCGCCCGUCGCUCCUACCGAUUGAAUGCUCAGGUGAGCCAUUCGGACUUUCAUCAUGCUGGUUUCCAGUUUUGAUGAAGGAAAGUCUUGCGAACCUUAUCAUUUAGAGGAAGGAGAAGUCGUAACA
rnacentral:rRNA from 1 species